UGAUCCUGGCUCAGGAUGAACGCUAGCGGCAGGCUUAACACAUGCAAGUCGAGGGGUAACAUUGUAGCUUGCUACAGAUGACGACCGGCGCACGGGUGCGUAACGCGUAUAGAACUUACCUUUUACAGAGGGAUAGCCUUUAGAAAUGAAGAUUAAUACCUCAUAGUAUUAUUGAUUGGCAUCAAUUAAUAAUUAAAGAUUUAUCGGUAAAAGAUGGCUAUGCGUCCUAUUAGCUAGAUGGUAAGGUAAUGGCUUACCAUGGCUACGAUAGGUAGGGGCCCUGAGAGGGGGAUCCCCCACACUGGUACUGAGACACGGACCAGACUCCUACGGGAGGCAGCAGUGAGGAAUAUUGGGCAAUGGAGGUAACUCUGACCCAGCCAUGCCGCGUGCAGGAAGACUGCCCUAUGGGUUGUAAACUGCUUUUAUACAGGAAGAAACACUCGUACGUGUACGAGCUUGACGGUACCGUAAGAAUAAGGACCGGCUAACUCCGUGCCAGCAGCCGCGGUAAUACGGAGGGUCCGAGCGUUAUCCGGAAUCAUUGGGUUUAAAGGGUCCGCAGGCGGUCAAUUAAGUCAGAGGUGAAAUCCCAUAGCUUAACUAUGGAACUGCCUUUGAUACUGGUUGACUUGAGUCAUAUGGAAGUAGAUAGAAUGUGUAGUGUGGCGGUGAAAUGCAUAGAUAUUACACAGAAUACCGAUUGCGAAGGCAGUCUACUACGUAUGUACUGACGCUCAUGGACGAAAGCGUGGGGAGCGAACAGGAUUAGAUACCCUGGUAGU
rnacentral:rRNA from 1 species